GCAUCCAUCCGGGGAGUCAUUCAGAGGUUAUGAUUUUUGGGCUGCUGUUAUUGGAUAUCAUGCUCCAGUUCGGGACGCCAUUGGUCUGGAGCUUGUCAGUCUGUGGCGCGCCGAGGCUCGUGAACGCGCCGCGCAGACAGUGCACGACACGCGAGUGGCCAGAGAGUGUCUGGAGUCUGUCUGAAACUGAUAAAAAUGGUGAUGGAGUUCAUCCAGAGUCUCGCUCACAGUCAUUAGAAAAACAAAGGGAGACAGAGCGGAAUUAUACAAUCCUCCAACACUGUAGUCCGAUCGUAGCUUGAAUACUAGAUUCUGUUGUAGCGCAUUUCAAAGUUUUAUUCCAUGUUUUUCACCAGACAGACAGUUCAAUAAUUCACAGGCAGGAGGAUAACAUUUCUGCAGUCUUCUGAUGACCUCUUGGAGCUGUCACAGCUGCAGCUACACAUAAAGGUGAUACCUGUGUUCAGCGGUUGUGCUGCCGUGCUGCCGGAUAGUGAAGAGGAACAGAGCUGAUGUGCCUGCAGAGAUGAUACAGGUAGCAAUAAUAAUAGUGAUUGUAUGUAUAUCUCUUUUUACUGUGUUAUUCUCUCCCUCACUUUCUAUAAAGUACUUGUUCUCUGCUCUUACUUUCUUUCUCUCACUAUUUCCACCAUCACAGAGUUGUGCCUUUUUACCCUCCUUAAAUACAGAUAUAUAGCAAAUUUUUAAAAAUCACUAUAAUAUUAACUGUUUUUUGCUUAAGCUAAUGUUACAAUAAGUUCUAGUUCUUUUGACAAGUUGCUCAAAUGAUCAACACUGUGAUAAAACAAUGUUAGAAUUGUUCUUAAUGUCAUAUUUAAUCUGUUUGUUCAAGCUUGUUUAAUUUGACAAAUGUCUUCUUUAAAUAUAUAUCACUUGUCAUUGUAAUAAAUGAAAUCUUUAUGUAUUAUCCGGAUAAAUAUAUCAAGAUAUAAUUGAGCCUCAAGUUUGAUAAAUGUGUAUUUUGUCUUAUUAUUAUUUCUUAAAGGCUCAUGCUGCAGAAAUACAGCUUUUCUUAAUAAGCACAACUCACCAUCAUUUUAGAUGCACUCUACUGAUUUUAUUAUUUACAUUUGUAAUGAGUGCUUGUAGUGUAUGCUCAAUUGUAAAAAAAGAAAAUCCACAGGCAUUUAGUUUUCGAUUUUAAUGUGCAUUAAAACUAAGUUUAAACAUGUACUGACAGGUUUUUUUUAUAUCAGGAAGGAGCUAGCAUACACACAUAAUUCGCUUAAUAUUUGUAGACCUUUAAACUGAAUAGAAUAUUUUAAAUGGUUAUUUUGUCCUGCUCAUGGUUAGUUGGCGUCAGGGCCAAUUAUGUCUCCAAAUGUUGUACAGUAUAAGGUCAAAAGUCGCUGUGCUGUAUUAGAAAGAUGACAGUAACCAUUCUGGAAAGGUCAGCCACUCAGUUUGUUUCCAAAGCGAAGUGCCACAAUGACGCCUUUGAGCUUUUGAUUAACUUUAUAUUAGAUUUAAUUAAUGAUAUGUCUCCCUGUUAAAUGACAGAAGUAAACAAAAGAACAUCCAGAUGUUCUCAGGUUAGUAAGAUUUUAAAUUUGCCCUGGUCUCAUUUGCAUUGAAGUCAGAUUUUUAAGUUUUUGAGUAAAUGGUGGUUAUUUUAAUUAUAUAUUUGUGGUGUGCUUCUCUAGACACUGAACAAACUUUAAAUGUAACCCUCACUAGCUCACUUGAGUGAUUUAAAAGAUUUUACUACAGUAAAUGUUAACAUGUUUGCAUCAGAAUACUUUAAUUGUACUUUUGUUUUUAAAUAACAUUACAUUGGUUUCAUUUUUUUUAUUCAGGGCCAAUCAGUGUUUUUUUAUUUUUUAUUUUUGUAAAAGAAACUUAUGGAAUAUUUUUUAGCACUGCUGUUUUAUUAAUACCAAAUCCCUAGGCAGAUUUAGUAAUAUUUUGAAGUAUUUUCACAAUUUAAAUAACUGCUUUCUGCUUAAAUGUAUGAUAAAAUGUAACUUAUUCCUUCCGUCUUCAGUGUCACAUGAUCCUUAAGAAAUCGUUCUACUGAUUUGCUUUUCAUGAUGCUUUUUGUUAAUAUUAUCAUUGUUGA